rnacentral:rRNA from 1 species
UGAACGCUAGCUACAGGCUUAACACAUGCAAGUCGAGGGGCAUCAUGGUGGUAGCUUGCUACCGCUGAUGGCGACCGGCGCACGGGUGAGUAACACGUAUCCAACCUGCCUUGAGCUCGAGGGAUAGCCCUCUGAAAGGAGGAUUAAUACCUGAUGUGGUUGUUGGCUGACAUCAGCUUUCAAUUAAAGAUUUUAUCGGCUCAUGAUGGGGAUGCGUCUGAUUAGCUUGUUGGCGGGGUAACGGCCCACCAAGGCGACGAUCAGUAGGGGUUCUGAGAGGAACGGUCCCCCACAUAGGAACUGAGACACGGUCCUAACUCCUACGGGAGGCAGCAGUGAGGAAUAUUGGUCAAUGGUCGAGAGACUGAACCAGCCAAGUAGCGUGAAGGAUGAACCUCGCCCGUACGGGUUAGUAAACUUCUUUUAUGCGGGAAUAAAGUGUGGCACGUGUGCCAUUUUGUAUGUACCGCAUGAAUAAGCAUCGGCUAAUUCCGUGCCAGCAGCAGC